rnacentral:ncRNA from 1 species
AGACCUGAAAUCAGUCGAGGUUACCCGCUGAAUUUAAGCAUAUUAUUAAGCGGAGGAAAAGAAAAUAACAAUGAUUCCCUCAGUAACGGCGAGUGAAGCGGGAAGAGCUCAAAGUGAAAAUCGUGAGUCCCUUUGUUUGGCCUCACGAAUUGUAGCCUCUAGAAGCGUGGCCAGUGGAGGGGCAGGUCCAAGUUUCUUGGAACAGAACAUCAGAGAGGGUGACAGUCCCGUCCUUUGUCCUGCUUGUUAGGUCUCCACGUACGGUGCGCUUUUAUUGAGUCGCGUUCAUUGGGAUUUGAGCGCAAAAUGUGUGAUAGGUUUCACAUAAAGCUAAAUAUUGGCGUGAGACCGAUAGUGAACAAGUACUGUGAAGGAAAGAUGAAAAGGACUUUGGAAAGAGAGUUAAAAGUGUCUGAAAUUGCUGAAAGGGAAGCGAUUGAAACUUUAGCGUCUCUGGGGUGCCGAUUGGGUACUUGUAGUGUUGUGCUCCCACACUUCCGUUACAGGGGUAGGGGGCGUUCAGUACUGCUUUUGUCCAGUUCGAUCCCUGGAGGUUGGUCAGCAUCAGUGAACUGACUGACUAUACUCCCCGAGGAAGGUAGGUCUCUCGUGGGCUGUUAUAGCCUCUGGGUUUGUGUUCAGUUGUUCACUGAGGUGUGUUUUUUUUGCGUUCGUCAGCUUCACUUUCGAGUACUGACGUUCUGCGAUGCUGUCCUUAACGGUUUCAACCGACCCGUCUUGAAACACGGACCAAGGAGUCUAACAUAUGUGCGAGUAUGCGGGCCGAACCCCUGUAUGCACAAUGAAAGUGAGAGUAGGGAGAGGUUUGUUUUUUUGGCAUGCCUCGCACCUACGACCGACCACGAGCUUUGCGAGAGGUUUGAGUUGUAGCACAUCUGUUAGGACCCGAAAGAUGGUGAACUAUGCCUGAGUAGGGUGAAGUCAGGCGAAAGCCUGAUGGAGGCUCGUAGCGAUACUGACGUGCAAAUCGUUCGUCAAACUUGGGUAUAGGGGCGAAAGACUAAUCGAACCGUCUAGUAGCUGGUUUCUUCCGAAGUUUCUCUCAGGAUAGCUGGAGUUCAAUUAGUUUUAUCAGGUAAAGCGAAUGAUUAGAGGCCUCGGGGGCGCGUUGCCCUCGACCUAUUCUCAAACUUUAAAUGGGUAAGAUCCAGUGGUUACUUCACUGAACUGCUGGGGUUAAUAUGAACUCCAAGUGGGCCAUUUUUGGUAAGCAGAACUGGCGAUGAGGGAUGCUCCUAACGCUUGGUUAAGGUGCCCAAAUACUCGCUCAUGAGAUACCAUAAAAGGUGUUGGUUCAUUUUGACAGCAGGACGGUGGUCAUGGAAGUCGAAAUCCGCUAAGAAGUGUGUAACAACUUACCUGCCGAAUGAACCAGCCCUGAAAAUGGAUGGCGCUGCAGCGGGUUACCGAUACCAGGCCAUUACCGCAAGUUUGUGAAGACACUCGACUUUGGGCGGUAAUGAGUAGGAAGACGUGGGGAUCGUAGCGAAGCAUUCGGCGUGAGCCUGUGUGGAACGGUCUCUAGUGCAGAUCUUGGUGGCAGUAGCAAAUAUUCAAAUGAGAACUUUGAAGACUGAAGUGGAGAAGGGUUCCAUGUGAACAGCAAUUGGACAUGGGUUAGCCGGUCCUAAGCGACAGCUUAACUGCGUAAAUUUCGGGGCUUUUUGUCCUCGUUUAUCGCGAAAGGGAAUCAGGAUAA